ACAGCCACAUCAUGUUGAAACACAAGUUCGUGUAUGAUCACUGAAGUUAAGCAACUUUGAGCCUGGUCAGUACCUAGAUGGGUGACUGCUUGGGAUUACCAGGUGCUGUAAG